CCCUUAAUCUGGCCUCUGGAACCGUGAGACAAUCAAUUUCCGUUGUUUAAGCCACCAGUUUGUGGUACGUUAUUACAGGAGCCCUGGCAAAGUAAU